rnacentral:rRNA from 1 species
GACGUAGGGCGCGAGCGUGUCCGGAUUUAUUGGGCGUAAAGAGCUCGUAGGCGGCUUGUCGCGUCGUCCGUGAAAACCUGCGGCUCAACUGCAGGCUGGCGGUCGAUACGGGCAGGCUGGAGUUCGGUAGGGGGAGACUGGAAUUCCUGGUGUAGCGGUGGAAUGCGCAGAUAUCAGGGAGGAACACCGGGUGGCGAAGGCGGAUCUCUGGGGCCGAUACUGACGUGAGGAGCGAAAAGCGUGGGGGGAGCGAAACAGGG